GACGAACGCUGGCGGCGUGCUUAACACAUGCAAGUCGAACGGAAAGGCCCUGCUUUUGUGGGGUGCUCGAGUGGCGAACGGGUGAGUAACACGUGAGUAACCUGCCCUUGACUUUGGGAUAACUUCAGGAAACUGGGGCUCAUACCGGAUAGGAGCUCCUGCUGCAUGGGGGGGGUUGGAAAGUUUCGGCGGUUGGGGAUGGAUUCGCGGCUUAUCCGCUUGUUGGUGGGGUAGUGGCUUACCAAGGCUUUGACGGGUAGCCGGCCUGAGAGGUUGACCGGCGACAUUGGGACUGAGAGACGGCCCAGAAGCCUACGGGAGGCAGCAGUGGGGAAUAUGGCACAAUGGGCGGAAGCCUGAGGCAGCAACGUCGCGUGCGGGAUGACGGCCUUCGGGUUGUAAACCGCUUUCGCCGGUGACGAAGCGUGAGUGACGGUAAUGGGUAAAGAAGCACCGGCUAACUACGUG
rnacentral:rRNA from 1 species